AUUUUAAUAGCUUAUUUUUAAAGCAUAAUAUUGAAGAUAUUAAGAAGGUAAUUUUACUUUAAAAUAUU
rnacentral:tRNA from 1 species